UUUGGUCUUUUACAGAAAAAUGUUGCUAACCCUCUCCCUCCCAGCCGCCAGAAUUUGGAUUAAAAGAGACUAAAGCGAUGUGACAAUGAAAUGCAAUGUGUGAGCCUGUCUCGAAUUGGAUCCUAGACCAGAAAAAGGACAUUUGAAGGGAAACUGGUGCAAUUUGAAAGGGACCUGCAGAUUAGACAAUAGAGUGCCUCAAGGGGAAAGUUUCUUAUGGUCAUCUUACAACAAUCAUUGUCCCUCCAAUAGGGAAUUCCGCCAAAGUCUGCUCCGCAAAGCAUGAGCAAAUGUUCAGGGUCUGGAGACAAUAGAUUGCUCCAGGAGAAACAUGAAGGAGCCACCGUGAUUCCAUAUCUGCCUGGGAACUCUUUUAAGCUGCUGAGGUCAGAAGAGAUUUGCAAAGCCCUCCAAGAGACUUGACCGAAAGACAUUGUGUGCUGGGGGUUAAUGUUUUUCAUCAUUAGUUGUGUUUGUAGCUUCUUGAAAUUAUUGUAUAUGGACUGGCACCCGCCUCAGCCUCCACUCAUCAGCACAACUGCAUCGGGGGACGGCCUCCUGGCUUCAUCUAUCAAACAA
rnacentral:lncRNA from 1 species